GACGAACGCUGGCGGCGUGCCUAAUACAUGCAAGUUGAGCGCUGAAGGUUGGUACUUGUACCAACUGGAUGAGCAGCGAACGGGUGAGUAACGCGUGGGGAAUCUGCCUUUGAGCGGGGGACAACAUUUGGAAACGAAUGCUAAUACCGCAUAAAAACUUUAAACACAAGUUUUAAGUUUGAAAGAUGCAAUUGCAUCACUCAAAGAUGAUCCCGCGUUGUAUUAGCUAGUUGGUGAGGUAAAGGCUCACCAAGGCGAUGAUACAUAGCCGACCUGAGAGGGGGAUCGGCCACAUUGGGACUGGGACACGGCCCAAACUCCUACGGGGGGCAGCAGUAGGGAAUCUUCGGCAAUGGACGAAAGGCUGACCGAGCAACGCCGCGUGAGGGAAGAAGGUUUUCGGAUCGGAAAACUCUGUUGGUAGAGAAGAACGUUGGUGAGAGUGGAAAGCUCAUCAAGUGACGGUAACUACACAGAAAGGGACGGCUAACUACGUG
rnacentral:rRNA from 1 species